rnacentral:rRNA from 1 species
UCAAGCGAACAAGGGCGCAGGGCGAAUGCCUUGGCACUGGGAGCCGAUGAAAGACGUGAUAAGCUGCGAUAAGCUUCGGGGAGCUGCAAAUAAGCAUUGAUCCGGAGAUUUCUGAAUGAGGAAACUCACCUGGGUUCAUACUCAGGUACGUUAUACUGAACUUCAAAAUAGGUAUAUCGAGGGAACCGCCUGAACUGAAACAUCUAAGUAGGGCGAGGAAGAGACAUCAAACGAGAUUCCGUAAGUAGUGGCGAGCGAACGCGGAAGAGGGCAAACCGAGAGUAGAAAUACUUUCGGGGUACGGACUGCUUUUAGGACUUAAUCUGUUAACCGAACGGCAUGGGAAGGCCGGUCAGAGAGUGUGAGAACCACGUAGGUGAAAACGGAGAGAGCUGCGCAGGAUCCAGAGUACGGCCAGACACGUGAAACCUGGUCGGAAUACGGGGGGACCACCCUCCAACCCUAAAUACUACCCAGUGACCGAUAGCGUAUAGUACUGUGAAGGAAAGGUGAAAAGCACCCCGGGAGGGGAGUGAAAAAGAACCUGAAACCCUGUGCCUACAAGCACCUAGAGCACGUCAAAGUGUGAUAGGGUACUUUUUGUAGAACGGUCCGGCGAGCGAUUGUAUGCAGCAAGGUUAAGGACUUAAGGUCUGGAGCCGAAGCGAAAGCGAGUUUGAAAAGGGCGUUAAGUUGCAUAUAAUGGGCCCGAAACCGGGUGACCUACCCAUGGUCAGGUUGAAGUGGAAGUAAAAUUCCAUGGAGGACCGAACCGACCUCCGUUGAAAAGGCGGCGGAUGAACUGUGGGUAGCGGAGAAAUUCCAAUCGAACCCGGAGAUAGCUGGUUCUCCCCGAAAUAGUUUUAGGACUAGCCUCAAGUUAGAUACCUGGAGGUAAAGCACUGAAUAGCCUAGCGGCCGAGAGGUUAGCGAAGCUUAUCAAACUCAGAAUGCCAGAGUAUUGAUGCUUGGGAGUCAGACAGUGUCAGAUAAAUGUCAUUGUCAAAAGGGAAACAGCCCAGAUCUACAGCUAAGGUCCCAAAGUCAGGUUAAGUGGAAAACGAUGUGAAGAUACGUAGACAACCAGGAUGUUGGCUCAGAAGCAGCCACUCAUUCAAAGAGUGCGUAAUAGCUCACUGGUCGAGCGUCUUUGCGCGGAGAAUUUAACGGGGCUAAACCUGACACCGAAGCUUAGGCAAUACAGCAAUGUAUUGGGUAGGGGAGCGUUGUAUACGCGGUGAAACAGUAGCGCAAGCGGCUGUGGAGUGUAUAGAAGUGAGAAUGCCGGAAUGAGUAGCGCGAAUGCAGUGAGAAUCUGCAUGGCCGAAAGCCUCAGGUUUCUGGAGGAAGGUUCGUCCGCUCCAGGUUAGUCGGGAGCUAAGGUGAGGCCUAACGGCGUAGCCGAUGCACAGACGGUAGAGAUUCCGUCACCACCAAAAGAGUUAAACACAGGGACACAUAUGAAGUCUCGGAGCCGGGUGUUGGUUCCGGUAGCGAUCGAGGGAAGUUAGUACCGAAGUCCGGGAUGGAAGAUGGCGAGAAAAGCUGUGUGUAUUUCUGCGGUGCCCGUACCGCAAACCGACACAGGUAGGUAGGAAGAAGAUUCUAAGGCCAACGGGAGAAGGGUUGUUAAGGAACUCGGCAAAUUGACCCCGUAACUUCGGGAGAAGGGGUGCUGCAGCAAUGCAGCCGCAGAGAAUCGGCCCAAGCAACUGUUUACCAAAAACACAGGUUUGUGCUAAAUCGAAAGAUGACGUAUACGAGCUGACGCCUGCCCGGUGCUGGAAGGUUAAGAGGAGAUGUGCAAGCAUUGAAUCGAAGCCCCAGUGAACGGCGGCCGUAACUAUAACGGUCCUAAGGUAGCGAAAUUCCUUGUCAGGUAAG